rnacentral:rRNA from 1 species
AUGAGUAAAGUGGCGCACGGGUGAGUAACACGUGACUAACCUACCCUUGAGUGGGGGAUAACCUAGAGAAAUCUGGGCUAAUACCGCAUAACACCUACGGGUCAAAGGAGCAAUUCGCUUAAGGAGGGGGUCGCGGCAGAUUAGCUAGUUGGCGGGGUAAUGGCCCACCAAGGCGGUGAUCUGUAUCCGGCCUGAGAGGGCGCACGGACACACUGGAACUGAAACACGGUCCAGACUCCUACGGGAGGCAGCAGUGGGGAAUUUUGCGCAAUGGGGGAAACCCUGACGCAGCAACGCCGCGUGGAGGAUGAAGUCCCUUGGGACGUAAACUCCUUUCGAUCGGGACGAUUAUGACGGUACCGAGAGAAGAAGCCCCGGCUAACUUCGUGCCAGCAGCCGCGGUAAUACGAGGGGGGCGAGCGUUGUUCGGAAUUAUUGGGCGUAAAGGGUGCGUAGGCGGUUCGGUAAGUCUUAUGUGAAAUCUUCGGGCUUAACUCGAAGUCUGCAUGAGAAACUGCCGGGCUUGAGUGUGGGAGAGGUGAGUGGAAUUUCCGGUGUAGCGGUGAAAUGCGUAGAUAUCGGAAGGAACACCUGUGGCGAAAGCGGCUCACUGGACCACAACUGACGCUGAU